CUUGAGUUAUAAACAUAAGAGGUCCAGCCUGCCCAGUGAUUAAAUUUAACGGCCGCGGUAUCCUAACCGUGCGAAGGUAGCGUAAUCACUUGUUCUUUAAAUGAGGACUAGUAUGAAUGGCACCACGAAGGUUUUACUGUCUCCUUUUCCUAAUCAGUGAAACUAAUCUUCCCGUGAAGAAGCGGGAAUAAACGAAUAAGACGAGAAGACCCUAUGGAGCUUUAAACACAAUAACAGAUACUACUUUAAACAAAAAUUUCUUAAUGACUUACUCCCUGGUAUUAUGAUUAUUAGUUUUAGGUUGGGGUGACCGCGGAGAAAAACACAACCUCCACAUUGAAUGAUAAAAUUCUAAGCAAAGAAUUACAUUUCCACGCAUCAAUACAUUGACAUCAAUUGACCCAAUUAUUUUGAUCAACGAAC
rnacentral:rRNA from 1 species